GACAGAGAGACAGAGAGACAGAGAGACAGAGAGACACAGAGACACAGAGACACAGAGACACAGAGACACAGAGACACAGAGACACAGAGACACAGAGACACAGAGACACAGAGACACAGAGACACAGAGACACAGAGACACAGAGACACAGACAGAGACACAGACAGAGACACAGAGACAGAGACACAGAGACAGAGACACAGAGACAGAGACAGAGACACAGAGACAGAGACACAGAGACAGAGACACAGAGACAGAGACACAGAGACAGAGACACAGAGACACAGACACAGACACAGACACAGACACAGACACAGACACAGACACAGACACAGACACAGACACAGACACAGACACAGACACAGACACAG